AUGGCGGAGGAACCGUCCGCCAAGUGUCACCAUGGCGAGACUUCGAACAAGAGCAGCAACCUCGUCGACAUUCACGUCCCCGGCAAGAAGCACGAGUACACCAAAAUGCUCAAAAGGGUUGAGCUCCACGGCAAGGAGACGCUGGAGAUCGUCUGCACCAGCAUACCAGACAAGGCCGACGAGGUGAUGAGCAAGCUCAGGAUGAAGGGCGGCGGCUUGUAUCCGAGCUUCAUCGGAGUUGAUGUGGAGCCCAAGCGCCUCAAAGACUUCCUGCAGGAGGAGAAAUUGUACAUAUUUGUCGGUUUCAACAUUGGAGGUGACAAGCGGAUGCUGGAGAAGUCUGGUUUGGAAAUCAACCCCAACAACUUCAUCGACAUGCAGCGCAAGUGGAAAGAUCCAAAGACCAAAAAAUACUACGACUCCUUGGCCGAUGUUGCAGGCGGAGUCAUCCACCCAUUCUACGAAGGCAUGAAGAAGAAGAUAAACAGGGCAGACCACAAACUGUGGGGGACCAGUCCGCUACCAGACAACCUCAUCACGUACGCAGUAAUAGAUGCGUACGCAACGUACAAGUCAUGGAAGACAAUCGACAACAUCGUGACAGGUUGGGAUAUUUCAAAAGAGCAGGAGGCUGGCCCCUACUACCACUACAACUUCGCGGAUGAAGAUGCAUGA
rnacentral:rRNA from 1 species